rnacentral:rRNA from 1 species
UAAGGUAAAAGCUUACCAAGGNUACGAUAGGUAGGGGGCCUGAGAGGGUGAUCCCCCACACUGGUACUGAGACACGGACCAGACUCCUACGGGAGGCAGCAGUGAGGAAUAUUGCACAAUGGAGGAAACUCUGAUGCAGCCAUGCCGCGUGCAGGAUGAACGCCCUAUGGGUUGUAAACUGCUUUUCUGCAAGAAGAAACCUUAGUACGUGUACUAAGCUGACGGUAUGUA